rnacentral:rRNA from 1 species
GACGAACGCUGGCGGCGUGCUUAACACAUGCAAGUCGAACGCUGAAGCUCAGCUUUUGUUGGGUGGAUGAGUGGCGAACGGGUGAGUAACACGUGAGUAACCUGCCUCCUUCUUUGGGAUAACGCCCGGAAACGGGUGCUAAUACUGGAUAUUCACUGGUCUUCGCAUGGGGGUUGGUGGAAAGGGUUUUUCUGGUGGGGGAUGGGCUCGCGGCCUAUCAGCUUGUUGGUGGGGUGAUGGCCUACCAAGGCUUUGACGGGUAGCCGGCCUGAGAGGGUGACCGGUCACAUUGGGACUGAGAUACGGCCCAGACUCCUACGGGAGGCAGCAGUGGGGAAUAUUGCACAAUGGGCGCAAGCCUGAUGCAGCGACGCCGCGUGAGGGAUGGAGGCCUUCGGGUUGUGAGCCUCUUUCGCUCAUGGUCAAGCCGCAACAAUGGUUGUGGUGAGGGUAGUGGGUAAAGAAGCGCCGGCUAACUACGUG